rnacentral:rRNA from 1 species
UUCCGGUUGAUCCUGCCGGAGGCUACUGCUAUCGGGAUUCGAUUAAGCCAUGCGAGUCGAGAGGGUUCGGCCCUCGGCUGACUGCUCAGUAACACGUGGAUAACUUGCCCUCAGGUAGGGGAUAAUCUCGGGAAACUGAGGAUAAUACCCUAUAGGCAUCCUUUGCUGGAAUGCUUGGAUGUUCAAAGGUAACGCCUGAGGAUAGGUCUGCGGCCUAUCAGGUUGUAGUGGGUGUAAUGGACCCACUAGCCCGCGACGGGUACGGGCCUUGAAAGAGGUAGCCCGGAGAUGGACUCUGAGACACGAGUCCAGGCCCUACGGGGCGCAGCAGGCGCGAAAACUUCGCAAUGCGGGAAACCGUGACGAGGGAAUCCCGAGUGCUCAUACAAUGUAUGGGCUUUUCUUAUGUGUAAAUAGCAUGAGGAAUAAGGGCUGGGUAAGACCGGUGCCAGCCGCCGCGGUAAUACCGGCAGCUCUAGUGGUAGCCACUUUUAUUGGGCCUAAAGCGUCCGUAGCCGGUCGGGUAAAUCCUUGGGUAAAUCGUACAGCUUAACUGUGCGGCUUCCGGGGAGACUGCCUGACUUGGGACCGGGAGAGGUUGGAGGUACUCCUGGGGUAGGGGUGAAAUCCUG